UACGUAGGGCGCAAGCGUUAUCCGGAAUUAUUGGGCGUAAAGAGCUCGUAGGCGGUUUGUCGCGUCUGCCGUGAAAGUCCGGGGCUCAACUCCGGUUCUGCAGUGGGUACGGGCAGACUAGAGUGCAGUAGGGGAGACUGGAAUUCCUGGUGUAGCGGUGAAAUGCGCAGAUAUCAGGAGGAACACCGGUGGCGAAGGCGGGUCUCUGGGCCGAUACUGACGCUGAGGAGCGAAAGCGUGGGGGAGCGAACAGG
rnacentral:rRNA from 1 species